rnacentral:rRNA from 1 species
AUUGAACGCUGGCGGCAGGCCUAACACAUGCAAGUCGAACGGUAACAGGAAGAAGCUUGCUUCUUUGCUGACGAGUGGCGGACGGGUGAGUAAUGUCUGGGAAACUGCCUGAUGGAGGGGGAUAACUACUGGAAACGGUAGCUAAUACCGCAUAACGUCGCAAGACCAAAGAGGGGGACCUUCGGGCCUCUUGCCAUCGGAUGUGCCCAGAUGGGAUUAGCUAGUUGGUGGGGUAACGGCUCACCAAGGCGACGAUCCCUAGCUGGUCUGAGAGGAUGACCAGCCACACUGGAGCUGAGACACGGUCCAGACUCCUACGGGAGGCAGCAGUGGGGAAUAUUGCACAAUGGGCGCAAGCCUGAUGCAGCCAUGCCGCGUGUAUGAAGAAGGCCUUCGGGUUGUAAAGUACUCUCAGCGGGGAGGAAGGGAGUAAAGUUAAUACCUUUGCUCAUUGACGUUACCCGCAGAAAAAGCACCGGCUAACUCCGUGCCAGCCGCCGCGGUAA